UCAAGCAAAGAUGAGCACAAAACUUCAUGUAGCAAUGUUUCCCUGGUUUGCCUUUGGCCAUUUCAUUCCUUACCUUCACCUUUCCAACAAGCUUGCAGAGAGAGGCCAUGGAGUGUCCUUUAUAGUGCCCAAAGGAGCACAAUCAAAGCUACAAAACCUCAACCAUUAUCCAAACCUUAUCAACUUCUAUCCUCUUCUCAUUCCCCACGUAGAUGGACUACCCCUUGGUGCCGAGACUGCCUCGGAUGUUCCUCUUCCACUUCAUAUGCACCUUGCUAUAGCUCUCGACCAAACCCAACACCAAGUUGAAACUAUUCUUACCACUCUCAAGCCUGACUUCAUCUUCUUUGAUUUUAGUUAUUGGAUGCCAGUUCUGGCUCACCAAUUUGGUACCAAGGCCAUAUUCUAUUCUGUGGUAAGUUCGGCUACACUUUCAUUUCAUAUGGUCCCUUCUAAGAAAAUUGCAAAAUAUUCCACAAAUGAAGAGCUAGUUCAACCCCCUCCAGGCUAUCCUUCUUUGUCAGUGCUACUAAAACCCAAGGAGUUCGAAAUUGCAAAAGUAAAAAUACUUGUGGAAGAUCAAGGAACUGGGACGUCCUUGUACUUUCGAAUCACCUCUAGCUUGAAAGACUGUGAUGCCAUAGCCUUAAGGACAAAUCAUGAGGUUGAGGGGACUUAUUGUGACUAAGGCAGCAGUAUUCCAAGCCCAUAUUGCUAACUGGACCUGUCCUGCCUGAAAUACCAGUGACGAAGCUUGAUGAAAAAUGGACUAAUUGGUUAUCCAAUUUUGAGGAAGGUACUGUGGUGUAUUGUGCAUUUGGGAGCCAAACUAUAUUACAAAAGAACCAGUUUCAAGAAUUGGUUUUGGGGUUUGAGUUAAGUAGGCAACCAUUUUUUGUGUCGCUGAGUGCUCCAGAUGGAUGUGCAACAAUUGAAGAAGCUUUGCCAGAGGGGUUUGAAGAGAGAGUUAGAGGGAGAGGGUGGGUGUAUGGGGGUUGGGUUCCACAAACACUGAUGCUGGAGCACAAAUCUGUUGGGUGUUUCGUGACCCAUUGUGGUCAUGGAUCCAUGUGGGAGUCUCUUCUUAGUAACUGUCAAAUAGUAUGUGUUCCAUACCUGCUGAGUGAUCACAUUAUGAGUGCUAGAUUAAUGGUGGAAGAACUGAAGGUUGCAGUGGAGGUGGAGAGAGAAGACAAUGGGUGGAUUUCCAAGGAGAGCUUGAGCCAUUCCAUUAUCUCUGUGAUGGACAAGGACAGUGAGGUAGCUGGGUUGGUGAAAUAUAAUCAUGCCAAAUUAAAGGAGGUACUUACUACUGAAGGUCUGCAAGGGAGGUAUUUACACAAUUUCAUUCAGAGCCUGCAAGGCCUUUUGGAUUGAUAAAUAAGUGUUUGUAUGGACUCGACUAUUUUUAAUUAAUCCCUUGUACUAAGAUGAGUACUAGAUUCUCAAAAAAAGAAAAAGAAAAAAAAAGAUGAGUACUACAGGUUUCAUUAAUGGAGGAAGUAUUCACUCAUGUUGUAGUUGAGGGGAAACCAAAAUGGUCUUGGAAGGAAGUGUUGCAAGUUAUCAGUUCAGUUAUGCCUACUUUUAGGAGCACUUAAAAAAAAAAAACUUUCGAUGUGGUUUAUUUGGGUAUAUCUGUUUUUUCUUCUUUUCUAGGCUGUAUACAUAUUGUGUUUUAUUUCCCUUUCAGCUAAAAUCAAUUCCAUAUGUUGAGUGAAGUUGAUA